ACUCAAAGGAAUUGACGGGGGCCCGCACAAGCGGUGGAGCAUGUGGUUUAAUUCGAUGCAACGCGAAGAACCUUACCAAGAUUUGACAUCCCUCUGACGGGUAUAGAGAUAUACCGUUCCUUCGGGACAGAGGAGACAGGUGGUGCAUGGUUGUCGUCAGCUCGUGUCGUGAGAUGUUGGGUUAAGUCCCGCAACGAGCGCAACCCUUACCCUUAGUAGCGACCAGGUAGAGCUGAGCACUUUAAGGGGACUGCCGUGGCUAACACGGAGGAAGGUGGGGAUGAGGUCAAAUCAUCAUGCCCUUUAUGUCUUGGGCAACACACGUGCUACAAUGGCUGCAACAAAGUGAAGCGAGUGGGCGACCAUAAGCGAACCACAAAAAAGCAGUCUCAGUUCGGAUUGCAGUCUGCAACUCGACUGCAUGAAGCCGGAAUCGCUAGUAAUCGCGGAUCAGCAUGUCGCGGUGAAUACGUUCCCGGGCCUUGUACACACCGCCCGU
rnacentral:rRNA from 1 species